CUUAAAGACUAGCCUGCACAUCACAUCAUAAAUUACUCCACACAAAUCAAACCAUUUGACAAACCAAGUAUAUGAGAUAGAACCGUACCUCCAGCGCAAUAGCCUAAACCGUACCACAAGGGAACCAUGAAAGACAACUAAACAAAUCAAGCACGACACAGCAGGAGUGAUACCCCGUACCUUUUGCAUCAUGAUUUAGCCAGCCAUCUACCCACAAAGUGCCCUAUGCUGGUCACCCCGAAACCAGACGAGCUACCUAAAAGCAAUCACCAAGGAUCAACC
rnacentral:rRNA from 1 species